rnacentral:rRNA from 1 species
CUAGAGAUAGGACGUACCCUUCGGGGGCAGAGUGACAGGUGGUGCAUGGUUGUCGUCAGCUCGUGUCGUGAGAUGUUGGGUUAAGUCCCGCAACGAGCGCAACCCUUGAUCUUAGUUGCCAGCAUUCAGUUGGGCACUCUAAGGUGACUGCCGGUGACAAACCGGAGGAAGGUGGGGAUGACGUCAAAUCAUCAUGCCCCUUAUGACCUGGGCUACACACGUGCUACAAUGGACAGAACAAAGGGCAGCGAAACCGCGAGGUUAAGCCAAUCCCACAAAUCUGUUCUCAGUUCGGAUCGCAGUCUGCAACUCGACUGCGUGAAGCUGGAAUCGCUAGUAAUCGCGGAUCAGCAUGCCGCGGUGAAUACGU